CGACAUGUACGAGCCCAGCACGGGCGACGACGAGGAGUGGGAGCGCUGGCUCAGGGGGCUCAUGGACGACGACGUGGAGAACGAAGACGAAGCCGACGACGACGAUGACCCCGAGUACAAUUUCCUGGAGGACCUGGACGAGCCGGACACGGAGGAUUUCCGGAACGACCGCGCUGUCAGGAUCACCAAAAAGGAGGUGAACGAGCUGAUGGAGGAGCUGUUUGAGACAGUA